ACGGGAGGCAGCAGUGGGGAAUAUUGCACAAUGGAGGAAACUCUGAUGCAGCAACGCCGCGUGAGGGAAGACGGUCUUCGGAUUGUAAACCUAAGUUGUCAGGGACGAUAAUGACGGUACCUGAAUAGAAAGCUCCGGCUAACUACGUGCCAGCAGCCGCGGUAAUACGUAGGGAGCGAGCGUUGUCCGGAUUUACUGGGUGUAAAGGGUGCGUAGGCGGGUCUGUAAGUCAGACGUGAAAUACCGAGGCUCAACUUCGGGGCUGCGUUUGAAACUAUAGAUCUUGAGUGAAGUAGAGGUAAGCGGAAUUCCUAGUGUAGCGGUGAAAUGCGUAGAUAUUAGGAGGAACACCAGUGGCGAAGGCGGCUUACUGGGCUUUAACUGACGCUGAGGCACGAAAGCGUGGGGAGCAAACAGGAUUAGAUACCCUGGUA
rnacentral:rRNA from 2 species